CUCCCUCAGCCGGAGUUGCGCACGCGUGUAUCGGAUUACAGUGCAGGCACCUCGGCCGGGCUCCACCGCACCGGCCCCCUUCCCUGAUUAAAGAGCAGUUCCAACCCCCCACCCUCCACCCUCUCCACUGCCUUCCCGCAUUUCUUCACGCGUGACCUCGUAGCUUCCAUUUCAGCAGACAUAUUGAUGGUGACUUUUUCCAAUCCAAGUGGCAAAACAAAAAUGGAAGCAAGGUGUCUUCUCCCAAAGGGGGCACUCGAGUGGAAAAGGAAAUAGUGAGACCGGUGGAAUAUAUGUGCCGAGGAAGUGACGUUUACCGGUCCGGCCCUGUUAGCGCUGUACUAGCUCUGAUUUUUCCAGCCAACCAUUUAUCAAGCAGCCCGCAAAAGGGAGAAAAAGAAUAGUGGACGACCACCGGUGGACAGCUCGCAUUUAUCUGGAGCAACACAAGCGGAGCCGACGUAGAGUAAUGCAAACGCGCACUCCCUGUGGCCUCAUCAAUAAGUUUUAUUACUUACGGGAAGCUGCGGUAAACGAUUUUGUCAAUGGCGAGCACGUCCCGCGCCGACGUCCUCAUUUAAUGCAGGAAGGGAGGCCGGCCGGCUAACGCUCGCGUGUUCGCGCAUACGCUAAGCGAUGGGCAAAAAAUGAGGGGAAACUCGCCUUUGCGGUGACAUUUUUGGAUCCAGCUAAAAUAAACUUUACAGGUGAACUUCAUUUGACCUCCUCUAAACUCCGGCUCGCACAUCUGGUUAAAUUCACAACAGGUGGUUGAUGCAGCCGAAUACACAGAGACUGGAAGAGUUACAGAAAGGGAUAGAGCUCGUGGACCUACUUCACCAAAGUCACGUGACCGGCCAUUUUGACGGUCUAGCAAAGCAUUCUUCAAUGCUAUGUUGGUUGGUCGACGACGCGAAAAUACGUCUCAUAGCACGACACCCAGAGUUUUGUCUGAUACCGUUAAACAUUAAGAAGGUGAUAAUAAACAAAGGUACGUGGAAAAAUGAGAGACACUUGGCAUAGAGGACCCACAUUUAAUGCCAAAGUCGAUGUUUUUGCCGAUGGGAAAGUGGAUGGUUAACCCGCUUCCGCUUGUCUUGGACAACUGGAUCUACACACGGAUCUGGUGAGUUAAGUCGUCGAGAUUUACACGGAAGUGUUUGAAAGCGUAGAAAAGUAUGGACGCAUACAAAUACUUGUUGCGGGAUCUGUUCUCAAUCAAGAAUAAAUCCCACAUAGCGAUGGAGCCACUCAGAUUUUCUUCAACACAAAUACCAAUAUUUAAAUAAAUGAACCUUGGUUUUACACAAACUCACAUUCAUUAACUAUGAUUGGGAAAAAAAAGACAGCAAGUCGGCUCCUCCGUACACACUGCGUGUUGCAGCCACAAGUUAAACUUUGGUAAACCUCUCCAUGACAGACUUUUUUUAAAAAUAUGCAUUGUUCUCAAAUGAGUCCAAUGCCUAUUUAAAAAAAGAAAAUAAACAACUGGGAUAGGCUUCAGCCCCCGUACACGAAAGCGUGUUGCAGCCACACAUUAACAUGUGUAAACAUCGCAGUGACCGUCAGUUUAUUUUCUUUUUUUAAUUACGCAUUGGACUCAUUUGAGAAUAAUGCAUAUUAAAAAAAAAAAACGUCUGUCGGGGGUGACGUUUACCGAAGUUUAAAGUGUGGCCGCAACACAUUUCCGUGUACGGUGGAGAUGACUCCCAGUCUUUUUUUUUUUAACACAUUGUUCUCAAAUGAGUCAACUUGGCAUUAUAAAUACUUCUUGGGAAUUUGAGAUUGAGAAGAAUAAUUCCUACCUAACGUGAAAUGAUGGCUACACAGUUGUGUGUAUUUGGUUGGGCACCAUCCAUCAUGUUUUAUUGGCGAAAUCCAUCAAACUUUUCUGGUCUUUUCAGCUGGUAUUCCAUAGAAUGAUCUCUUUGAAUAUCUGUCUCGUCUGUUGUAACAACCAACAGCACAACAAGUCUCGGGCGUUGUGAAUAUUCUGCUCCGGUUCAAUGUCCCCCACACUGUCGAGCACCUCUUUUUGACCAGCAAUAUGGCGCCGUGAAAAUGGCGGCGUUACGUGCACGAGCUCUAUAGAAGUCGAUGUCUUGCGCGCAUAAGCGAGCGCCGACGUAGACGCAUAUUUGUGAAGAUUUAUACAGCCGAGAUUUCAUCACACAAAUUCCCACUUGAACGUGCCAGGAAACAAGCAAAGACAUAAAUGAUGCGCAAAAAAUAGGAAGCCAUCUGUUUCCACUUUGACUGCCCCCCCUCAAAAAAAAAUGCAUAGGCUGAAAUAUAAAUGAGAUCCCCCAGCACGUGUGAGUCGUCCAUCUUGCUUUGCAUAGUUUGUCGCGCAUAGGUACGUGCGCAAUUGCAC